GACGAACGCUGGCGGCGUGCUUAACACAUGCAAGUCGAACGGAAAGGCCCUGCUUUUGUGGGGUGCUCGAGUGGCGAACGGGUGAGUAACACGUGAGUAACCUGCCCUUGACUUUGGGAUAACUUCAGGAAACUUGGGCUAAUACCGGAUAGGAGCUCCUGCUGCAUGGUGGGGGUUGGAAAGUUUCGGCGGUUGGGGAUUGACUCGCGGCUUAUCAGCUUGUUGGUGGGGUAGUGGCUUACCAAGGCUUUGACGGGUAGCCGGCCUGAGAGGGUGACCGGCGACAUUGGGACUGAGAUACGGCCCAGACUCCUACGGGAGGCAGCAGUGGGGAAUAUUGCACAAUGGGCGGAAGCCUGAUGAAGAAACGCCGCGUGCGGGAUGACGGCCUUCGGGUUGUAAACCGCUUUCGCCUGUGACGAAGCGUGAGUGACGGUAAUGGGUAAAGAAGCACCGGCUAACUACGUG
rnacentral:rRNA from 1 species